rnacentral:rRNA from 1 species
UACGUAGGUGACAAGCGUUGUCCGGAUUUACUGGGCGUAAAGAGCGCGCAGGCGGUCGAUUUAGUCGAGUGUGAAAGCCCCCGGCUCAACUGGGGAGGGUCACUCGAUACUGAUCGACUCGAAGGCGGGAGAGGGCAGCGGAAUUCCCGGUGUAGUGGUGAAAUGCGUAGAUAUCGGGAGGAACACCAGUGGCGAAGGCGGCUGCCUGGCCCGUUCUUGACGCUGAGGCGCGAAAGCUAGGGGAGCAAACGGG